GGGUCAGUAGGUUGGUCGUGCCACCGGUACGUACUGGUCUCACUGGUUCCUCCUUCCUGAAGGGCCGUAAUGCCAUUAAUUUGGUGUUGCGGGGAAACAGGACUGUUACUUUGAAAAAAUUAGAGUGUUUAAAGCAAGCUAACGCUUGAAUACAUUAGCAUGGAAUAAUGAAAUAGGACGAUCGAUCCUAUUUUGUUGGUUUCUAGGAUUGACGUA
rnacentral:rRNA from 1 species